GUAUUGCCAUAAUUCAGCAGCACAUAUACUAAAAUUGGAAUAAUACAGAAAAGAUUAGCAUGGUCUCUGAGAAAGAAUGACAAGCAAAUUCAUAAGAAAAAAAAAGCAUUG